AAAACAUAGCCUCCUGAGAAACAUAGGAGGUCCUGCCUGCCCAGUGGCUAAAGCUAAACGGCCGCGGUAUCCUGACCGUGCAAAGGUAGCAUAAUCACUUGUCUCUUAAAUGGAGACUUGUAUGAACGGCAAAACCUCUCUUUACUGUCUCCCUAGCCCUCCUUAGAAACUCUUCCCUAGGUGAAGAAACCUAGAUGAAACAGAAAGACGAGAAGACCCUGUCGAGCUUCAGUCCAAAGAUAAUUUGGAACAUAGCUGCAAUAGCAGUUUUUAAAAAUUUAUCCAAAGACUUUGGUUGGGGCAACCGCGGAGAAGAAUAAUCCUCCGCAUAAAAACAGAUGAAAACAAUUCUCUAUUUAUACUAAUACGAACCAGAAACUGGUAAAAGGAAAAAGUUACCGCAGGGAUAACAGCGUAAUCCCCUUUAAGAGUCCUUAUUGACAAGAGGGUUUGCGACCUCGAUGUUGGAUUAAGACAUCCUUAGGGUGCAGAAGCUCUAAAUGGUUGGACUGUUCGUCCAUUAAAGUCUUACGUGAUCUGAGUU
rnacentral:rRNA from 1 species